CUGGGACUUUGUAGCAAUGUGAUGGUGGCACCGAGUUGAAACUGAAGAAUACAUUGUUUUUUGGCAGAGAACUGUGGGGAGAACGUUCUAGAAGGGGGAAACUCAAACGAGAGACACUAAGAAGAACCAUGUCACAGGAGGAGUGCCACACAAGCCAUAUCGCUGCCACGCAGCUCCACCUGGAACAUCCACUCCCGUGGGAUCCAAGAGAUUAGGGAGACAACAGUGCUUGAAUGCAAGCCAUCUCACUGGCAGCUCCCGGAGUGUCUGGGCUGACAUGGAAGGUUCUAGAAUCUACUUGUUGGGCUGUGAGAGGACUCAAUGGGCCAGCAGCAGCCUUCAGUGGGCUCACAUGAGUGGCUGCUGAGUGUGUGCAGGGUCCUUGUCUCUAGCUCACACGGGCUAAAUGGACACCGUAAUGUGACUUCACUACCUCCUCUCCCAUGGAGCCCACGAGCAUCUGUGAUGACAUCGUCACCGUCUUCGAGAAUGAGAGCUUCGUGUGAAGGACCAUGGCCCUACAAGUGGCUUUUGUGUUCUCAGCCUUUGGCACAGGAGGCUGUUAGUAAGGG
rnacentral:lncRNA from 1 species